UACGUAGGGUGCGAGCGUUAAUCGGAAUUACUGGGCGUAAAGCGUGCGCAGGCGGUUUUGUAAGCCAGAUGUGAAAGCCCCGGGCUUAACCUGGGAAUGGCAUUUGGGACUGCAAGGCUGGAGUGCGGCAGAGGAGACUGGAAUUCCCGGUGUAGCAGUGAAAUGCGUAGAUAUCGGGAGGAACACCAGUGGCGAAGGCGGCUCCUGGCCUGUUCUUAA
rnacentral:rRNA from 1 species